UACGUAGGUGGCAAGCGUUGUCCGGAUUGACUGGGCGUAAAGGGCGCGUAGGCGGUUUGUACAGUCAGACGUGAAAUUCCUGGGCUCAACCUGGGGGCUGCGUUUGAUACGUGCAGACUUGAGUUCGGAAGAGGGUCGUGGAAUUCCCAGUGUAGAGGUGAAAUUCGUAGAUAUUGGGAAGAACACCGGUGGCGAAGGCGGCGACCUGGUCCGAUACUGACGCUGAGGCGCGAAAGCGUGGGGAGCAAACAGG
rnacentral:rRNA from 1 species